UUCAAAACCUUCAAAUCCCAUCCAUCUCACUUUCUUUCUCUUUUUCCCUCUUCAACUCAAAAAUUUAUUCUCCUCUAGAAUUUGCAUGUUGAAACUCAUUCAAUAGUAGCUUGAUUUCUCAGGAUCCUAGAGAUUCCUUGUUGGAAUUUAGUGAGUAACAAAUCCCUUCCCUUUUUGGUCCCUUGGCUCAUUUUUCCUUUUUGCAUGACCUCUUUGAUGGGUGGUGUUAGAAUCUUGUUGUAAGACUAUUUUGAUGUUGGCUUCUAUUAGCUAGUCUUAGAACACAAACUGAGGAGGUCCACUCAGAAUUCACCAAGUGCAUCAUUGUUCCCAUCUUCUACAAGGGCUUAGAACCCUAGGACAUUGAUUUGGGUAAGGAAAGCUUUUACUAUAUAAUUGAUUGUUCGUGUUGAGUUUUGAUGUUGUUUUUGUGAUGCUUGGUUGCUAAGUAUUGGGUGUUUAAGUUGUUUUGGUUGUUUUUAGGUGUUGGUGUAGAUUGAGGCUUGGAUUACUCUUUUUUUAGGUCAAUUCGUGAUCUGCAAAAUUUUAAAGUCUCAUUGAGCGAUACAUUCUCGCCAAGCAAGCAAAUCCCUCUGAUUUGGAAAAGUUAGAAAUUUCACAAGUCUCGUUGAGCAAAACAUUCUUGUUAAGGAAGCAAAUCCCUCUGAUUUGAAAAUUUUAAAAAUUUCAUAAAACUCGCUAAGCAAACAAACCUAGAUGACAAAAAAAUAUUAGAACUCACUAAGCAAGAUAGAUAAGUUUGGCUUAACCAGAAAGGUUAGGUUAGCAAAAAUGUUAGUUGCCACUUUUUUUUUUGUUUUCUCUAUAAAGUUCCAAAAAUUAUAAUUAACAAUUGUUUUCUCUUCUCAAUAACGAAUAUGAUUAAUUGUGGAAUUAACAUAGAGAUA
rnacentral:lncRNA from 1 species